rnacentral:lncRNA from 1 species
ACCAACCGAAGCUCUGCCCGCCAUGGAUGACCUUAGGCCCUCUUUGAUUUGCAGGAUUUUCAAAACGUGGGAAUAGGGAAAAUACAGGAUUUGAGUGGCAUGUCCACUUGAAUCCUAUAGGAUUAGCAUAGAGUGUUUGAUGCUACAGGAAAUAUAAAGGAAUUGAAAAAAGUGGUUGGAGUGGAUGGUAGAUUUCCAAUGAAAUGUAGUACACUUGAUUCCAUAGGAAAAAAAUUCUAUGGGAUUCAAUCCUAUGAAUCAAACGACAAACGUAGGAAAAAAUCCUAUGGAUUCUAACCCUCCAAAAAUCCCAUGAAAUUGGAGCCCUUAGUUGCCGUGGCCACCUCCCUCCCCGAGAUAUGACACCGCGUCGAAGAGGACCGUCAUCAUCUGCUACAUCAUCUGCGGGGAUCCAUUCGACCGGAGCCGCACUGCAUCGCCGGGAUCGACGCAUCUACCUCGCCUAUGGCCGCCGCUGCCCCGCGCCCGAUCUACCUCACCGGAGCUCCUCCGCCCCGCCGGACGCGUCGUCCGCCUCCCCCUGUGAGCGCCACCCCAAUUUCCCUUGUUUCCCCCUCUGUUGGUCGCUCUAUUAUGUCGUCCAAGUUUUGGCCGAUGGCCGCAGCCACCGCGACCGCGCCCACGCCCCGUGUCCUGGCCGCCCAGUGCGCGCCUUGGCCGCGCCCAUGUACGCGCGCUCGGCCGUCCGGCCGCACCCGCAUCCGACGUAGCUCCCUGGCCCCCCCCCCCGCUCGCCUCCUGCUGCUUCCGCCCGCGCUGUUGUUGCUGCUUUCCUCUGCUGCCACUGGUUGCUGCUUCGCUUUGCUGCUGCUACCGCUCGCUGCUGCUUUGCUAUUGCCGCUAGCUGCUGCCACUAAUUGCUGCAUUAUGCCACACUGCUACCUGUUGCUGAUCUUGCUGCCGCAGAUGCUGCUGGUGGUGUUUAAUCAGUGCGUGGCCAUGGCUGGCCUGGGUUGUGUGUACGGCCGUGCGUGUGGCCUGCUUGUGCCACUGCACGUGGGGGUAGCCCAACUAGUUAAGGCUAAUUGUUUUUUAGUUAGUGGUUAAUUAGUAUAGUUAAAUUAGCCUAAUGUACAGCUGACAUCUAGCCCUUUUUAAUUAGGUUAGUUUCUAUUUAAUUAGUUAGGUGUAGUCUAUAUCAUGUGGGCCAUAACUUCCCUUUUGACAAGUCAAAUUGACUUGGUCAAUUCGGAUUAUUGAAAUAUAACAAUUUUAGAAAUUCCAGAAUAUUGUUAAAACUUCAGAAAUUCAUAGAAAAUAAACCGUAACUCGGGUGAAAAAGUUUUCUAUAUGAAAGUUGAUCAGAAAAAUGAGCCGAACCCGAAUACGUUACCCACAUACCUGUCAGAUGCCUCUAACUAUCUGAACAUGGAAUAUUCCCCCUCCGGCCAUAUGUCUGACAUAGGUCCGGAACCGGGAAUACAUUCCCGGUUGAAUUCCUCCUUCACCUUUGUCGUGUAUCCAUAUGUUAGGUCACACCCGGCACAGCAUAUUGCCACGUCAUGCUUUGUGAUGCUAUGUUUGCUUUAUAUUUACUGUUUAUUCCCCCUCUUCUCUCCGGUAGACCCCGAGACCGAUGCCGCCCCUGUGAUCGACUACGUCGAUGACGACCCCUCCUUGCCAGAGCAACCAGGCAAGCCCUCCCUUUGAUCAUCCCGAUAUCGCCCAUUCCAUUCUCUCAUGCUUGCAUUAGAUUUUGCUACUGUUAUUGUUUGCUCCUAUUCUGAUGC